rnacentral:rRNA from 1 species
AGGUUUACCUGUGUGACUGCGUACCUUUUGUAUAAUGGGUCAGCGACUUAUAUUCUGUAGCAAGGUUAACCGUAUAGGGGAGCCGAAGGGAAACCGAGUCUUAACCGGGCGUUAAGUUGCAGGGUAUAGACCCGAAACCCGGUGAUCUAGCCAUGGGCAGGUUGAAGGUUGGGUAACACUAACUGGAGGACCGAACCGACUAAUGUUGAAAAAUUAGCGGAUGACCUGUGGCUGGGGGUGAAAGGCCAAUCAAACCGGGAGAUAGCUGGUUCUCCCCGAAAGCUAUUUAGGUAGCGCCUCGUGAAUUCAUCUCCGGGGGUAGAGCACUGUUUCGGCUAGGGGGCCAUCCCGGCUUACCAACCCGAUGCAAACUGCGAAUACCGGAGAAUGUUAUCACGGGAGACACACGGCGGGGGCUAACGUCCGUCGUGAAGAGGGAAACAACCCAGACCGCCAGCUAAGGUCCCAAAGUCAUGGUUAAGUGGGAAACGAUGUGGGAAGGCCCAGACAGCCAGGAUGUUGGCUUAGAAGCAGCCAUCAUUUAAAGAAAGCGUAAUAGCUCACUGGUCGAGUCGGCCUGCGCGGAAGAUGUAACGGGGCUAAACCAUGCACCGAAGCUGCGGCAGCGAACGUAUCACUUAAAGCGAUUCAGCGGGUUACGAUUGACGGAGCGAAGCGACGUCAAAGCGUAUACAAAGUCGAGUCGGUUUAAGGAUACGUUCGUUGGGUAGGGGAGCGUUCUGUAAGCCUGUGAAGGUGUGUCGUGAGGCAUGCUGGAGGUAUCAGAAGUGCGAAUGCUGACAUAAGUAACGAUAAAGCGGGUGAAAAGCCCGCUCGCCGGAAGACCAAGGGUUCCUGUCCAACGUUAAUCGGGGCAGGGUGAGUCGACCCCUAAGGCGAGGCCGAAAGGCGUAGUCGAUGGGAAACGGGUUAAUAUUCCCGUACUUGGUGUUACUGCGAAGGGGGGACGGAGAAGGCUAUGUUGGCCGGGCGACGGUUGUCCCGGUUUAAGCGUGUAGGUGUGUGUUCCAGGUAAAUCCGGUUCACUUUAACACUGAGGCGUGACGACGAGGCACUACGGUGCUGAAGCAACAAAUGCCCUGCUUCCAGGAAAAGCCUCUAAGCAUCAGGUAACAUCAAAUCGUACCCCAAACCGACACAGGUGGUCAGGUAGAGAAUACCAAGGCGCUUGAGAGAACUCGGGUGAAGGAACUAGGCAAAAUGGUGCCGUAACUUCGGGAG